CUGCCUGCAUAUCAAAUCAAGCCCAAAUGAAGUAGAUUUAGGUGGCUGUCCCAACCUGUCCUCACCAUAGACUGUAUAUGGUCCUUACCGAUAUGCAUACUGUAUGUAGGCCUAUGUUUCUCUUAAAUAUAAUUUUAUGAGCUCCACAAGGGGUUAACUGCCAAACUCUCCUCCCGACUCAAUCACUCAAUUGAUCAAUUGAUUGGUCAGUUCGGAAACUUGGCGUGUAGACACCAUUUUUGACUCUGAAAACAUUAGCCUAGGUGAUUUAGUUUGGAAGCGCACCAACUUAAACUACCUUUAACGUACAUCUAGCCAGUCAGCUAGUAUGUGCGCAUUAGCUUCCUUUGUUUUGAUAUUUUCAACCAACGUUGCCAUAAUGUAAGCAGUUUACAGGAACCAGCAGCAGUGGAGACAGGUGGAGCUGCAGGUUCUCAGGUGCAGAAAAGCAGGUACCAGUAGCAGGACAGGGACAAGAGGACAGAGGCAGAGAUAAAGAGCAACAAGGUCUCAGUUUCAAGCCCCUCUUUUGAUGUGCAUCCUCUUCACUACCGAAUACCAGCAAAUAUUUAGGCUUGCCUCCACCCUCCAUCUCCCACUGUCACUCUUCUCUGAGCCCUCCUCUUCUUCUGUGCUGCCAUGCACCCUGGGAAGGAAGCAGUAAUGCCAGAUGGAGACGUGGUCAGCCUCAUGUUAGAAGCCACAGUGCAGGAUGGGCAAUUUGGACCCUACUCUCUGGCAGCAAAGGGAAGAAAAUAACUCUCUUGGACUGGAAAUACAGUAUGUUUCUAAUGCACCUCUACCCUAACAACUGAUGGCACAAUCUCUGCAAAGAGCUGGAAAAUACCUAUUUCUAGCUCCAUGACCAUAUUUGGCAUUGACCUCAGGAAAAGGAAAUAACUCUACCCAUGUCACCCUCCCUUCUUCGCUGGUUAUUUUUGACCUUCCCCCUACAGCUCCCUUAACACCAAGCUCUUCUGUACUCCUUUUGAUAAACAUCAAAUGGCUUUUCUUUUUUUCUUUUUUUACUCUUAACAAAAUUACGUUUAUGGUCUGAAGAGUCUAAGGCAUCCCAGCUUCUGAGAUGAGCGUUAAGAUGGAGUCAUGUACAUAAAUGCAUCCCCAGUGGUUAACCCAUUGGCACCCAGCAAGCUGAGGUUAUAAAAAUGUAUGUUUAUUCAAAACUUGCGUGAGGGCAUGUUUACCCUCGGGGUCAUCAUGAAAUAAGGUCAUCAAGCAUGGUUGCAUAAUAAUUUGCAUUCACCACACAUUCAGCACGGGGUCUAAUAAUAGAACACUUGUAUAUAUCCUCUGUUGCAUUAUGUGUCAACCUGAUUUAUUCAUCCCAUCCCAAUACACCUGGGGGUCAUUUAUAAGAGCUGACAAAAAGGUGAGAGAAGAGCUCAAUCAUUUGAAACCAGGCCUCCUGAUGGAUGUAUAUUGAGGCCACCAACAGUCUCCUGCUCAUUUUCUUUUCCUUUGCAUAAAAUGAUAUGUACAGGGCCAUUGUGUUGUGAUAGAUCAUUUAUGUUUCAGAUUAAAGCUGUUAUGCUUCUAGCCACAAUAGCAGCAGGGCUCUGAGGAGGUUUGGUUCUGGUUUAUUCACAUGGCCUACUCACAAAUUAAAACUUUGAUAAUGCUGAACAAGUACAUUAAACACUAAGGCUGCGUACAGACUGACUUUAGCUCUGCAUGAAAAAAUGCAGCCCCCUCAUUCAUUUGAAUGAGGCCAGUCAGGCAGGGCAGUGAGGAUGCCAACGCAGGGGGCUCCAGCCAAAUAUAAUGCAGGGUCGUCUGGCAGAAAGAGUUGAAUCUGGCUCAACUUUUGCCACAACACAAUAUGACAUCAUCCGGCAAGGCUGCAUUGGUCAAUCGCAUACAUGCAAACGCACAUUCCUGGCAGAUAACCUUUUAACAUGAACGGCAUAUUACCUCACGAUCCUUGUGACAAAAGAUAAGAUUAUUGUAAAUUCCUGUGAGUAUUAUAAACCACUGUGCAGGGUUUUGGCAUCUGAUAAGCCCAGGGAUUCAUGGAUAUAUUACUCAAACUCAACAUCCUGGAUAGUAUUCAAUGUCUAUCGGGUAAAAUUCAGUGUCUAUCGGGUGUCUAACGUUGAGCUGAUUCGGGUCUGAACACUCGCUAAAACUUCUGUCUAGCUUCCACACUACUUAAUAAUGACUGAAUGUGCAUCUUUUUCUGUAUACCAAUGUGGCGCAUCCGUUGGCUGUAAUGAUCUGCGUGGGUUUGAGCAGACUUGAAGUCACUGGAGGAGCUGAUGUCUGUGUGCAACUGUAAUGGAACUUUUUAGGCCGGAACCUAAUAAAAUGUCAAGCUUGAUUUAUUCCUAUAUUGGUUGUUUGUAUGUGUGUGUUAAUUACUGACCACCCGUUAAAACUGUUUCAUCCCACUUCAGAGGACCUAAGUGGGCACUGAGUGGUUGGCAUGGUGCCGGCCUUGUGUCACUGCUUCUCUGGCAUUGC